UCCAGCUCAGUAACAAUUUCGCAGAAUCCCAUCACGUCACAAUCCAGGCCCCCUCCAAUUGGCCAGUGGGGAGGGUGAUUCAACUCUGUUUACUUUCUCCCCCUGCCAGUCAGAAGGGCCCUUCGGUGGAGAGGUGCGUCUAGAACUACGGCGCGCGGCCAAUCCGACCGUUCCGUUCCGCCGCCGCGUGCUGCCCCUCCAGUCCCGAACGCUGACAUUUAAAAGGGAAACUGCUCCGAGCCGGGCUGCGCAUCCCCGCGAAUGCCGCCCGGUCGGCGCGCGCGCCCACGCCUCCCGGCCCACGUGCCGGCUGGCGUGGCUUGGGGACGUAUCUUCCCCUAGGCGGUUACACCCGUCCCUAGGGACGAAACAGAACUUCAGUUUCGGGUUUCCAGCCCUUAAACAGUUAAGUGACUUCCUGCAAACGCUACAGUCCCAGCAACCAGUCUUCCAAUCAAAAGGACUCCUCCCAAUUCCUUCCGGCACAUUUCCUUUCUCUUGCUUUACAAAUGUUGAAGAACAAGACUUUUCGGCUUUACCAGGGACGAAUUUACAGGAGCUGACCACGAUGGUGCACACCUGACGUCCUAGUUAGGGACUGAGGAGGAUGGAGCAUUUGAAGAGACAAGCCUGGGGGUAACCUGGACUAAAG